CCUACGGGGGCAGCAGUGGGGAAUAUUGGACAAUGGGCGAAGGCCUGAUCCAGCAAUUCCGCGUGUGUGAAGAAGGCCUUCGGGUUGUAAAGCACUUUAGGUUGGGAAGAAAAAGCUUCGGUGAAUAUCCGGAGUGUUGACGGUACCAACAGAAUAAGCACCGGCUAACUCUGUGCCAGCAGCCGCGGUAAUACAGAGGGUGCAAGCGUUAAUCGGAUUUACUGGGCGUAAAGCGUGCGCAGGUGGUUUCGUAAGUCGGAUGUGAAAGCCCCGGGCUCAACCUGGGAACUGCGUUCGAUACUGCGAGACUAGAGUUUGGUAGAGGGUGGCGGAAUUCCCGGUGUAGCGGUGAAAUGCGUAGAUAUCGGGAGGAACAUCAAUGGCGAAGGCAGCCACCUGGGCCUGAACUGACACUGAGGCACGAAAGCGUGGGUAGCAAACAGGAUUAGAUACCCUGGUAGUCCACGCCGUAAGCGAUGAGAACUUGACGUUGGUUCGUUUUACGAAUCGGUGUCGUAGCUAACGCGAUAAGUUCUCCGCCUGGGGGNGGUACGGCGCGAGUAGAACACGAAGAAGUAGACGGCGUGAGACGUGCCGACGGACGACGACGAGGGAGAGG
rnacentral:rRNA from 1 species